GCGCCGGUAGCUCAGCUGGAUAGAGUACCUGACUACGAAUCAGGCGGUCGCAGGUUCGAAUCCUGCCCGGCGCGCCAGCU
rnacentral:tRNA from 1 species